CCAUAAAGCUGUCGUCACAGACGCUUUGUGCUGCUAAUGACAGUCUGGGCCGCGCAGCCGUUUGUUCAAACAACACCAAGAAUAUAAUCCUGUGGAUUUGUGUAGCGCCCGUCGAAAACAAAGUCUCAAUAUUUCAGAGCGAAGGCUUCAAACAUCACCUGUCUGUCGGAUUUACAUAAAAAUAGUUUUAAUAAUAAAAAUGUUUCUUGUUUUGGUCUGAAACUGUUUGAUUUAUCGAGAAAUAUUUGUGGUGAAAAUGAAUCUAUUUAGACUGAAGUUCUUCCAUUCUCAACACAGGAAGUUCCUGCAUUCAUCAAAGAAAGAAAAAGCAGAAAUGAACCGGAAAAAGACUUUUAGUGAAGCACAGCUCUGCAAACACCACCCCCCCCACUCCACCUCCUUGUUUCAACAAUAGCAGCUCUGCAGGCGAGAGCUCUGCGGUGUGAUGACCCAGUGAAAGAAACUUCUCAAUAAAGGAUAAAUCUCUCAGCCGGUGGGAUCAGCAUGAACACGGGUGACUGGCGGGACGACACCACAGACAUCCAGAAGACGAUCGUUGACUUCCAGGACAGAGAAGCUGAAGGUCAAACUUUCUCCUAUAUAAGUAGGAUCCCGGUCCGUGGACCAAAUACAAUAUUCUUUUGCAUGUCGUAAACUAAAAGGAGGAAAUAAAGAAUACGGUUUAAUUUAUCUAUUUGAUUCUGUGUUCAUUAACAACCAUUUUUACCUGAAAAAGAAGAGCAAUCUAAAACAAACUUUCUUCCAGUGAAAACGGCAAACUGGGAUCCUGACGAUAGACGUGGAGCUGCUCUUUUUAUCCGUUUGUCGUUGUCGC